ACUAGAAGCUCUUGGGAGCAUGUGGACAGUUGUGGCUGCUCCUGAGCUGACACUAACUGCUCAUGACUCCUCUGUGGGAGAAGUAGGUGGUUUCCUAGAGGAAGAAGUUUGGGUAAUGAAGCCACAGAGAUUUGCUGAUACAUUUGCUAGGCACGACUUCUGGUCAUUUAGAAAGCUAUUUUGUGGCUUCAUCAAUAAGGUAUUCCCCAGCUGUGUUACUCCUUCGCAUUGUUAUCUCUUUCCCUGGAAUUGAAGGCUUCCUGGUCUGAGGCAAGGACAAUUAUUCCCUCACUGUCAACCCUGAUCUCUGGCUGCAGUAAUGAGUAGAGGAAAUGAAGAAAUAAGAAUGGAAGCAUAAUCAUUUGUCCGAGGUCACAGAGGGAGAUGAUUACACAGCUGGAAUAAACUCUCCUCCUUCAAUACCUGACUACUUGCACCAUCCAGCAGAUAUCCUCUACUACCAAGUCUCAACAGAUGGUUCAGCUGGUCUUUAAUGAACAAAAGGCAUUUGUGUAAUGGACUCUUAUUGCUCAAGAAGAAUUUCUUCCUUCCUGAAACAUGAGGAGAAACUGACAAAAACUGUCUCCUUGACCAAACCCUAGUCAGUUGCCUAUAAGCCCUGUAGGCUGUGACCUUAGUGUCUAUCCUUAUCAGACACGCAUUACACAACCAUAGCAACAGUCUUGCUAAGUUGGUUUAACCAGAACCCCUACCCUUGAUAUCUGAUUUAAUUUAUAAUUCCCCUGAGUCCCCGAGGUGACAUCCAUUCAUCCUGGCCAGCUUUCAAUAAGAAUCCUAUUGGAUUAUUUAGCUAGAAAUCACCCCUUACACUUAAUGCUUCCUUUUAGUAAUUUUGCAUCCACUAACCCCGACCUUGCUCGUUGGCUAUAAAUCCACAAGUUGUCCGUGUUGUGUUUGGAAUUGAUUACAAUUCUAUAUUGAGGUCUCUUUUCCCAUAUUGCAAUAGUUCCUGAUUAAAAUCUGCUUUUGCCCAUUGAUAUGGUUUGGUUGUGUACCCACUCAAAUCUCAUCUUGAAUUGUAGCUCCCAUGAUUCCCAUAAUUGAAUCAUGGCAGCAGUUUACCCCAUACUGUUCUUGUGGUAGUGAAUAAGUCUCAUGAGAUCUGAUGGUUUUAUAAGGGGUUUCCACUUUCACUUGAUUCUGACUCUCUUUUGUUUGCCGCUAUGUAAGACAUGCCUUUCACCUUCUGCCAUAAUUGUGAAGCCUCCCCAGCCACAUGGAACUGUGAGUCCGUUAAACCUCAUUUUCUUUAUAUAUAAAUUACCCAGUCUCAGGUAUGUCUUUAUCAGCAGCAUGAAAAUGGACUAAUACACUCCUUUAACUGUGUAGCUCUGGUGUUCUUUGAUGAGCUAGAAACUGUAAAUCUCUGGAAGUCAAAUCUUCAUUUGAACUGGUUGUUAUAUAUUAUUGAUUCUCUCAAUUAUUUAGUUAAAUAAAAGUCUUGACAUGUUAAAUUUGUA
rnacentral:lncRNA from 1 species